rnacentral:lncRNA from 1 species
CUCAUUUUAAUUCUUAGAAAUGUGGCCAUAUCAUUGGUAAAUCUUAUUUUAGAUGAGGACUGGUAAAUAUCAAAUUUGGGGGAUAUUUAUUGAUACCAGGAAUUGAGCCCAGGAGGGUAGCCAGCCCUUUUUAUUUUUAAUUUUGAAAAUAGGUCUCACCAAGUUGCUUAUGGCUUUGCUAAGUUGCUGAGGCUACCUUUGAACUUUCUAUCCUCCUGCCUCAGCCUCCUGGGCUGCUGGGAUUACAGGUGUACCACACCUGGCAAAUUUGGGGAACAUAUUUUUAAGAUUUUUUUUUAAGACGGACACAAUAUAUUUAUUUUUGUGUGGUGCUGAGGACUGAACCCAGUGCCUCACAUGUGCAUGGCAAAACAGGAUAACCCAAGAUAGCAUAUAGUACAGCAUUUAGUGAGUUGAUGGGGGAACCAGCUAACAGCACGCACAUUUAACCAGUUGGCAACUUGGUGAUUAAAACCAUUUAGUCCACCAGCCGCUGCAUUCUGUUGACCUGGAAAAAAGCACAUUCCCUUUCUCAAAAUGAUUUUGAUUUCUGUUAGAGAUGAAGAGAGGGCUUUUGAGUAUCACCCAAAACUGGUAAUUGAGCCAGAGCCAACUUUUUGGAUAUCAACAGUAGUUGAUAGGAAGAACAUGGUUGAAAAAGGUAAGAUAGUAAAGAGAAUGUGAUUACCUCACAUUGUUGAGGAAGAGAUUGAUGUUAGAAGGGUUGUCCAAGUUUGCAGUCCAGUGGAUUGAUCUGAAGUGCAGACUCCAGGUUGCAGGACCAGUUGUGGAUAAACUAGAGGAGGCCCGCAGACUCUGUCAAGAGGUGUGAAGGAGGUUUUGGCUAAGGUGUCAGAGUCGGUGGCAGAGUACUGAGACCCCAACAACUGAUCUAGUGCUUGUUGCAAAGACCAGUGUGAUGUUAAAGCCUGGCAGGCUUGGAAGCCAGCAGCCCAGUUUAAAUCUUGGCUUCUUCGUGGCUGUAUGACUUUGAACCAGUUAAAUAAUCUCCAGAAUUUUAUUUUUUUCAUCAAAAAAUGGUGAAAAGAGGAAGGACAUUCUAAACUGCUUAAAUUUUGUGUACACAAACGAUGACAGGGAUGGGCAUAGAGCACACUAAACAGCUUCUGGGUAGGCUCACACUGACAUUGGUAGUAUGCACUCAAGUAAUGGCUUAAAAAGAUAGCUCCUUUUGAGCUGGGUGGGGUUUUGUGUACCCAUAGUCCCCACUACUGGGGCGGCUUAGGCAAUAUUGGGAAAACAUGUCUCAAAACUUUUGGUGCUAGGCAGGCAAUAAAAAUCCCCCAUUAUUUGCCUACUGGGAGUGGGUGCAUUGACUUGCUCCCUGUAUUCCUGUUUUGAGGCUGCAGGACACUGAGUUCCAAGGUAUGUGUGUAUUGUUGGAAUCACCUGGGGAGCUUUUGAGAACUGUUACCUGGGUUCCCUCCUUCCCGGGGUUCUGAUUUAGUUUGAAGUGGGUCCUGGAUGCUGGGGCUUUGAAAGUUCCCUAGGACCCCAUAGUAGUCCUGUUAGCCAUUUUUGAGUCUCCUUACCCCACUUCCUUCAGCCUCCAAGUAUAAGGAAUAAGCCACAUCUGUGCACUUGACCUGGGACCCUGCCUACUGGCCACACCCUCUUCCCAGCCCUGCUCUUGCUGGCAGAAGCAAGAUGCAGUUUCUUCUGAUUCAGUUUCGGUUUCUUUCAUUUCUUUGUUUCUUGGUGUUGAGGAUCAAACCCAGGGCCUCACAUGCUAGGUGAGUUCUCUACUGCUGAGCCUCAACCCCAGCCCUGAUUCAGUUUCUUAAUAGGCUGUGGCAUUGGACUGAAAACUCCUGAUGUUCCAGCACCCAGAUAAAACUCACCAGAAAAUGCUUUCCUUUGCUUCUUCGUUUAACACAUUCAUAUUUCUGCUACUGGGGGAGAGAUCCCCUGAGCAAGGUUUGGGGAGAAAAGGUAGACAACUAGGAGGAAGGGCACUCAAGUGGAAUUACCAUAUGCUGAGUAUAUGUGCAAUGCUUGUUUCUCAACCCGUUUGGGGUAAAUCUCCAACUCCAAGAAACGCAGUGUUCUCAGCUGUUAAAUUUGGGCCCUGAUAUUUUAUAAAAUAAAAAUCUUUCACCAUUGAAAUGAAAUUGUUUUUGUUGUUGCUGGGGAUUAAACACAGGGUUUC